GAAGGUGGCAAGCGUUGUUCGGAUUCACUGGGCAUAAAGGGCGUGUAGGCGGUCUAGCAAGCGGCGUGUGAAAUCCCGGAGCUCAACUCCGGAACUGCACUCCGAACUGCUGGGCUAGAGGACAGGAGGGGGAUGUGGAACUCUAGAUGUAGCGGUGAAAUGCGUAGAUAUCUAGAGGAACGCCGGUGGCGAAAGCGACAUCCUGGCCUGUAUCUGACGCUGAGGCGCGAAAGCGUGGGUAGCAAACAGGAUUAGAUACCCUGGUAGUCCCACGCCGUAAACGAUGAGCACUAGGUAGCCGGGGGAACCGACCUGUGGCUGCUGAAGGUAAUCCAUUAAGUGCUCCGCCUGGGGAGUACGGUCGCAAGGCUG
rnacentral:rRNA from 1 species